AGUUCCGGACGCGGCCGCCGCCGUCGCCGCCAUCUGUCACCUCCACUCCGGCAUCAGCAGCCAGUCGCCCGUGUCCCGCCUGUCUCCUCGGCGGAGCCUGCUGCCCGUCCUGCCACCUCUCUGCUCUGUUCUUGUCUCUGCCUUCAUUCCCGAAUGGAUCUGGUAGGAGUGGCAUCGCCUGAGCCCGGGACGGCAGCGGCCUGGGGACCCAGCAAGUGUCCAUGGGCUAUUCCUCAAAAUACAAUAUCUUGUUCUUUGGCUGAUGUAAUGAGUGAACAGCUGGCCAAAGAAUUGCAGUUAGAAGAAGAAGCUGCCGUUUUUCCUGAAGUUGCUGUUGCUGAAGGACCAUUUAUUACUGGAGAAAACAUUGAUACUUCCAGUGACCUUAUGCUGGCUCAGAUGCUACAGAUGGAAUAUGACAGAGAAUAUGAUGCACAGCUUAGGCGUGAAGAAAAAAAAUUCAAUGGAGAUAGCAAAGUUUCCAUUUCCUUUGAAAAUUAUCGAAAAGUGCAUCCUUAUGAAGACAGCGAUAGCUCUGAAGAUGAGGUUGACUGGCAGGAUACUCGUGAUGAUCCCUACAGACCAGCAAAACCGGUUCCCACUCCUAAAAAGGGCUUUAUUGGAAAAGGAAAAGAUAUCACCACCAAACAUGAUGAAGUAGUAUGUGGGAGAAAGAACACAGCAAGAAUGGAAAAUUUUGCACCUGAGUUUCAGGUAGGAGAUGGAAUUGGAAUGGAUUUAAAACUAUCAAACCAUGUUUUCAAUGCUUUAAAACAACAUGCCUACUCAGAAGAACGUCGAAGUGCCCGCCUACAUGAGAAAAAGGAGCAUUCUACAGCAGAAAAAGCAGUUGAUCCUAAGACACGUUUACUUAUGUAUAAAAUGGUCAACUCUGGAAUGUUGGAGACAAUCACUGGCUGUAUUAGUACAGGAAAGGAGUCUGUUGUCUUUCAUGCAUAUGGAGGGAGCAUGGAGGAUGAAAAGGAAGAUAGUAAAGUUAUACCUACAGAAUGUGCCAUCAAGGUAUUUAAAACAACCCUUAAUGAAUUUAAGAAUCGUGACAAAUAUAUUAAAGAUGAUUUCAGGUUUAAAGAUCGCUUCAGUAAACUAAAUCCACGUAAGAUCAUCCGCAUGUGGGCAGAAAAAGAAAUGCACAAUCUCGCAAGAAUGCAGAGAGCUGGAAUUCCUUGUCCAACAGUUGUACUACUGAAGAAACACAUUUUAGUUAUGUCUUUUAUUGGCCAUGAUCAAGUUCCAGCCCCUAAAUUAAAAGAAGUAAAGCUCAAUAGUGAAGAAAUGAAAGAAGCCUACUAUCAAACUCUUCAUUUGAUGCGGCAGUUAUAUCAUGAAUGUACGCUUGUCCAUGCUGACCUCAGUGAGUAUAACAUGCUGUGGCAUGCUGGAAAGUUCAUGUUCUGUAUUGAAAUAGGUCUGGUUGAUCGAUGUCAGUCAGUCAGUAGAACCUACCCACCCUCACGGCCUGGAGUUCUUGUUCCGGGACUGCAGGAAUGUCUCGCAGUUUUUCCAGAAAGGAGGAGUCAAGGAAGCCCUUAGUGAACGAGAACUCUUCAAUGCUGUUUCAGGCUUAAACAUCACAGCAGAUAAUGAAGCUGAUUUUUUAGCUGAGAUAGAAGCUUUGGAGAAAAUGAAUGAAGAUCACGUUCAGAAGAAUGGAAGGAAAGCUGCUUCAUUUUUGAAAGAUGAUGGAGACCCACCACUACUAUAUGAUGAAUAGCACUAAUACCCACUGCUUCAGUGUUAACACAGCAGUGAUUGUCAGCUGCCAAUAGCAAAUGAAGUUAUGGGUGACUUGAAAUACCAAAACCUGAGGAGUGGGCAAUGGUGCUUCUGUGCUUUUCCCCCUUGUAACCCAUGUGCCAGAUGUGUGGAAUUUUUAGCUCAGCAUUGAGAGAAUAAAAUGUCACUACCUCUCAUCUUAUGAACAGGAUAAUAUAAUUCUUUAACAGCUAUAGGUUAUCUGGCUGAAGUAGACCUAAUUUUAUGUGACUUGUGGUGUAAAAUGUCUUGAUGAUAAUUUUUAAAACUUGGGUAACACUUCCAAAUAUGGGAGGAAAGGACAGAUGUGUUUACAAGGGAGGAUUUUACAACAUACUUGCUUUAUUCACCUCCCUGUUUUGUGUUGCGUCUUUCCUUGAAUAUUUUAUUGGCCCAGAGUUAGCCUUUCUCAAUUAUGUUUCCAGACUGUGGCCGUGAUUCUAAAGGAAAAUGUGUGCUCUUUAGUGGGUAGAACAAAUGGAAAUUUGGUUUCAGAAUGGCUGACAGAAAUCGACAUAAGUCAUGUAAUUUUUGUUGAUAUAUCAUGAAAAUGAACAGAAUUCUUUUUCCAUACUUAUAUCUAAGAAAAGGCAUCAUAGGUUUCUGAAAGAGAUAACUAUAUAACAGCUUUUUAACUAUCCAGUCAACUUUCAGCUUUUCUACAUUUAGGUAAAAUGGUUAGGAUAUAACUCAUGGUGUGGCUAAUCUACAUUUAUCAAUAAAAUGUAAAUUAUCUGAAAGGACAGAAUAUAAGAUUUAACCAUGUUUGACGUAUUUUAAUUUAGUUAAUGAAGCAAAAUUCAGUUUAUAUUUCACUAGAACUGUGUACUUGAUUGAUUUUCAGAGAAAUAUCACAAAUUAGAAAUAUUAAAUCUAAGGAUGAAAGGUAUAUAUAAAACAAUUUGGGGGCCAGGCACGAUGGCUCAAACCUGUAAUCCCAGCACUUUGGGAGACCAAGGCGGGUGGAUCACUUGAGGUCAGGAGUUCAAGACCAGCCUGGGCAACAUGGCGAAACCCUGUCUCUACUAAAAAUACAAAAAUUAGCCGGGUGUGGUGGCACUUCUCUGUAAUCUCAGCUUCUCAGGAGGCUGAGACAGGAGAAUCGCUUGAACCCGGGAGGCAGAGGUUGCAGUGAGCUGAGAUCAUGCCACUGCACUCCGGCCUAGGUGACAGAGGGAAACUCCAUCUCCAGGAAAAAAAAAAAAAAACCCAAUUUGGAUACCAAAUUAAUCAACUAAUUUGAGCUAUCUGGCCUUACUCUUAGUAGUUUUUAGUACGUGCUGGACACCACUUUUAAAAAGCAAUCACUGUGCUAGAAAAGUAUAUUGGCUUUGUUAGGAUUAAAGUUCAUUAACUUCAAUGUAAUCAUGCCUCCUAUUACUGAAGUCAGAUUGGAACCACUAAAGAUCCAAACUUUCUGUCUGGUAAUAGAAAGUAAAAAUCUAGACAUCAUUUACAUUUGAGAAAGCUGUUUUUAACAUUAUUUUAAAAUGCCAAAUAUGUUCUUUCUAGAAAAAUAUUUAUUUUUGUUUUUGUUGGAUAGCUUUUAAUUACAUUUCAGAGAGGUGUAAUUUUGGGUAGAUGCUCAUUACAUUUUUGAAAGGUUUAUGAUUCCAAAAUAAAGAUUUAUAUGACUGGUGAUACUGGCUUUACAGAAAUUUCAGAGAACUAAUUUUUAAAAUCUUUAGCAUUUAAAACUUUUUUUGUUUUGUUUUCUGACAUAUUCUGACAAAGAGCAGCAAACCACUGCUGUGUGGCAUUCUUGGAGUGUGCUGUGAAUGUGCUUUUUAAGAAAUUAAAAAGAGAUCAUUUUAAAAUUG